GACGAACGCUGGCGGCGUGCUUAACACAUGCAAGUCGAACGGAAAGGCCCUGCUUUUGUGGGGUGCUCGAGUGGCGAACGGGUGAGUAACACGUGAGUAACCUGCCCUUGACUUUGGGAUAACUUCAGGAAACUGGGGCUAAUACCGGAUAGGAGCUCCUGCUGCAUGGUGGGGGUUGGAAAGUUUCGGCGGUUGGGGAUGGACUCGCGGCUUAUCAGCUUGUUGGUGGGGUAGUGGCUUACCAAGGCUUUGACGGGUAGCCGGCCUGAGAGGGUGACCGGCCACAUUGGGACUGAGAUACGGCCCAGACUCCUACGGGAGGCAGCAGUGGGGAAUAUUGCACAAUGGGCGGAAGCCUGAUGCAGCAACGCCGCGUGCGGGAUGACGGCCUUCGGGUUGUAACCCGCUUUCGCCUGUGACGAAGCGUGAGUGACAGUAAUGGGUAAAGAAGCACCGGCUAACUACGUG
rnacentral:rRNA from 1 species